rnacentral:rRNA from 1 species
AAACUUCACAAUGGGCGAAAGCCCGAUGAGGGAAUUCCUAGUGCUAGCACAUUUGUGUUAGCUUUUCCUUAGCGUAGAUAACUAGGGGAAUAAGGGCUGGGUAAGACGGGUGCCAGCCGCCGCGGUAAUACCCGCAGCCCGAGUGGUGGUCGAUUUUAUUGAGUCUAAAACGUUCGUAGCCGGUCUGAUAAAUCCCUGGGUAAUCGGGUGGCUUAACCAUCCGAAUUCCGGGGAGACUGUCAGACUUGGGAUCGGGAGAGGUAUGAGGUACUUCAGGGGUAGGGGUAAAAUCCUGUAAUCCUUGGAGGACCACCGGUGGCGAAGGCGUCAUACUAGAACGAAUCCGACGGUGAGGGACGAAGCCCUAGGUCGCAAACGGGAUUAGAUACCCCGGUAGUCUAGGGUGUAAACGCUGCAGACUAGGUGUUGGAGGCCCUACGGGGGCACCCGAGUGCCCGAGAGAAGUUGUUAAGUCUGCUACUUGGGAGUACGUCCGCAAGGAUGAACUUAAGGAAGUU